CUUCCGUAGGGGAACCUGCGGAAGGAUCAUUG
rnacentral:rRNA from 1 species